CCUACGGGUGGCUGCAGUGGGGAAUAUUGGACAAUGGGGGGAACCCUGAUCCAGCCAUGCCGCGUGUGUGAAGAAGGCCCUCGGGUUGUAAAGCACUUUCAGUGAGGAAGAACGCCUGGUGGUUAAUACCCAUCAGGAAAGACAUCACUCACAGAAGAAGCACCGGCUAACUCCGUGCCAGCAGCCGCGGUAAUACGGAGGGUGCGAGCGUUAAUCGGAAUUACUGGGCGUAAAGCGCGCGUAGGUGGCUUGAUAAGCCGGUUGUGAAAGCCCCGGGCUCAACCUGGGAACGGCAUCCGGAACUGUCAAGCUAGAGUGCAGGAGAGGAAGGUAGAAUUCCCGGUGUAGCGGUGAAAUGCGUAGAUAUCGGGAGGAAUACCAGUGGCGAAGGCGGCCUCCUGGACUGACACUGACACUGAGGUGCGAAAGCGUGGGUAGCAAACAGGAUUAGAUACCCCAGUAGUC
rnacentral:rRNA from 1 species